AAUAGAUACCCCGGUAGUCCACGCCGUAAACGAUGUCGACUUGGAGGUUGUGCCCUUGAGGCGUGGCUUCCGGAGCUAACGCGUUAAGUCGACCGCCUGGGGAGUACGGCCGCAAGGUUAAAACUCAAAUGAAUUGACAGGGGCCCGCACAAGCGGUGGAGCAUGUGGUUUAAUUCGAUGCAACGCGAAGAACCUUACCUACUCUUGACAUCCAGAGAACUUAGCAGAGAUGCUUUGGUGCCUUCGGGAACUCUGAGACAGGUGCUGCAUGGCUGUCGUCAGCUCGUGUUGUGAAAUGUUGGGUUAAGUCCCGCAACGAGCGCAACCCUUAUCCUUUGUUGCCAGCGAUUCGGUCGGGAACUCAAAGGAGACUGCCAGUGAUAAACUGGAGGAAGGUGGGGAUGACGUCAAGUCAUCAUGGCCCUUACGAGUAGGGCUACACACGUGCUACAAUGGCAUAUACAAAGAGAAGCGACCUCGCGAGAGCAAGCGAACCUCAUAAAGUAUGUCGUAGUCCGGAUUGG
rnacentral:rRNA from 1 species